GACGGAGGAUGCAAGCGUUAUCCGGAAUUAUUGGGCGUAAAGCGUACGCAGGUGGCUCGACAAGUCUUUUGUUAAAGCGCGAGGCUUAACCUCGUAAAGGCAGAGGAAACUGUUGAGCUAGAGUAUGGUAGGGGCAGGAGGAAUUCCCGGUGUAGCGGUGAAAUGCGUAGAUAUCGGGAGGAACAUCAGUGGCGAAGGCGGCUGCCUGGCCCAAUACUGACACUCAGGUGCGACAGCGUGGGGAGCAAACAGG
rnacentral:rRNA from 1 species